AUUCCUCCAACAAAUAAGACAGAGAACUGCCUGUUUUUUUGGUUCCCUAUCGAAGGACGGAGCUUGGAACAACAUUUAUAACGGUUUAAUGACACAAAGAGUAAAAGGUGCUGCAGCCCAUCCAUCUGCUGAAUGUUGCCAAGUAACAGCCAUCCAUGGAACAUGGAAAAAUGAAUUCACCCGGCCAGGCCCAAAUUGUCGACCCACAGAACAUGAGAUGCAGAAGCUCUAACCAAGGAUUCCUAGAGAGAAAGAGUAGAGCCAUGAGACGAAGGGAGCCUGGGUCCCUAAAUCACCAUGUCGGAGCUCUUCAGCGAAAAGCUGACGCUGAGCUGCUACGUGAGCAAGAGACACCUUGCCCAAUCUGAAACGAAGCCAAGCAAAGCAACAUCACCUUCUGGAAAGUGCAGAAACUGCAAUCAAGAUCAACAAAGAAAAGCACCCUUCCCAUAGAUUCAUCUCUUUGGCGUUUAAGUGUUUGGGCGAGUCUACAAAACUCAGAUUCCUCAUUUAACUAGAUGUUCCAGGUCACAGAGAUAUUCUACUAAGGCAAUUUUCAAAAGACCAUAAAACCACCACAUCAAUUUAUGCUUGCAGAUUUCUCCUAGUUUUCGUAUAGUGC
rnacentral:lncRNA from 1 species